rnacentral:rRNA from 1 species
AUUGAACGCUGGCGGCAUGCCUUACACAUGCAAGUCGAACGGCAGCACGGACUUCGGUCUGGUGGCGAGUGGCGAACGGGUGAGUAAUAUAUCGGAACAUACCCUAGAGUGGGGGAUAACGUAGCGAAAGUUACGCUAAUACCGCAUACGAACUAAGGUUGAAAGCGGGGGAUCUUCGGACCUCGUGCUCAUGGAGUGGCCGAUAUCUGAUUAGCUAGUUGGUGAGGUAAAAGGCUCACCAAGGCGACGAUCAGUAGCUGGUUUGAGAGAACGACCAGCCACACUGGAACUGAGACACGGUCCAGACUCCUACGGGAGGCAGCAGUGGGGAAUUUUGGACAAUGGGCGCAAGCCUGAUCCAGCAAUGCGCGUGAGUGAAGAAGGCCUC